rnacentral:misc_RNA from 1 species
UCCGGUUUGUCACCGGCGGUCUCCUGCGAGUUCCCGGCAUGACCCGCUGGCAACACAGGACGAGGGUUGCGCUCGUUGCGGGACUUAACCCAACAUCUCACGACACGAGCUGACGACAGCCAUGCACCACCUGCGCUGGGCCCCGAAGGACGCCACAUCUCUGUGGCUUUUCCCAGCAUGUCAAACCCAGGUAAGGUUCUUCGCGUUGCCUCGAAUUAAGCAACAUGCUCCGCCGCUUGUGCGGGCCCCCGUCAAUUCCUUUGAGUUUCAUUCUUGCGAACGUACUCCCCAGGUGGUAUGCUUACUGCGUUAACUGCGUCACUGCCCCCGAAGGGACAACAACUAGCAUACAUCGUUUACGGCGUGGACUAC